GGGACCCCACUACUCCGACUAUUUACUACCCUACCGAAAAGAAUCUUUGAGUAUAUACCAAAAAUUCUUUAGGUCAAAGAAGCUCAGUGAAAUUCUCCGCAGGCACUCAGCGGAACGAUUAAACGGCAAGGAUACUCUUGUGACAUAAAUGUUACCAUUCGAUCGGACUCGGUGCGGCCUUGAGCAAAAGGGUUGCAGAGCCGCACCCGAAUUGAGGCGGAACACUCCGAGGGAUCGCGAGGCCUCGGACAACCGCCCGUCCCGUUUUCAGUAUGUUUCUAUCGUCUUGUGUGAUGUGUGGUGCUCCCGAAUCUGGUGCUCUCUCACCUCUACUCUCAUCGGAGAAGUUCAAACUCGACGCCGUGCUUUUUCAACGACGCGCCCUGCCUCCACCUGAACGACUCCCUGGGUCCACGCUGAUUCUUCCACGACUUACCCGGAACGAUCGUCUCUACGGAUUACCCGCAUCUUGCCACGUGUUGUCGAUCUUUCGCCAAUGUAAGUGGCAAUAAACAGUUUACCUUUAUUUGU